CAUAGUGUAGAAUUUAUAGUGUAAUAAUAGUAGUUUAGAACUCUCGGUGUAAUAAUAGCGUAGAAUUCUUAUUCUAAUAGUAGUAGUGUAGAAUUUGUAGUGUAUAUUUUUGUGUAGUUGUAGUGUAGAAUUUUUUGUAGUUGUAGUGUAAGAUUUGUGUGUAGUUAUAGUGUACAAUUUUUAGUGUAAGAGUAAUGUUAAUUUUGUGUGUAAGAGUAGUGUAAAAUUUUGGUGUAUGAUUAUAGUAUAUGAUUUUAGCUAGUGUACUUUUAUUAUAAUUUUAUGUAGUGUACUUGUAGUGAAACAAUUUAGUGUAGUUGUAGAAUAUGAUUUUUAGUGUAGCUAUAGUGUAUGUUUUAUUACAUUGUAGAUUGUAGGUUUUGCAUGUACUCAUUAAUAUGCUUAUUUUUUUUACUAACUUGUUAGUUAUAUUUGCACCGUCACAGAUGGCUCCGAAGUUUCAUGGUGUGCAAUAGAAGGGGAAUAAUUACUAUGCCAUCAUUAGGAAGGAAAAUGUCGUCCACGAGCUUGGUCAUUGGGACACCCUCCAGUUAGCGGCGCACGUCUAUGAUGCCAUGGCGGUAGAGUUCUAUGAGGACGGGGCGGUUCUGAACUUCCUUGAGUGUCGCGAGUACGUGAAGUUCCUCGCGCAGGAGGACAUGAGGAUAUGCACUAGGGCUGAGGACAAAACAUGUUGAAAUGCAGUUCUUCGAUCCACGUGAGCGAGCUUGCAAGAGAUGACAAACUCAUGGAGACCAACAAGAUUGUGCUACUUCAAUAUGCAGGCAGGAAGAGCAUGGACGAGGAUCCGGUAGACUGGGAUGCCUUGGAGCGUGAGGAGGGUCAACGGGAGUGUCGUCGUAGGUCCACUAGGCACCACCAUGAGUGAAUGGAUGCCCCACGUGAGACCGGUGGUUCAGUGAGAUGCCAAAGGGAUAAAAAAUUCUUCAUAGAUCUGCCGAGUGACUUCCUCACUAGGACGGUCAUCCCUUGUGGGGCAAUGAAUGACUUAGAGAAGUUUUGAGUUCCAGUAGAUGCCACCAUCACAUUCCAGUGCACCCUCAUGAAGAUGCUGAUGACCCAAUAAUUCAAUUGUCUUGUCACCAACGAGGCAAACCACACCUAUUUCGGUUGUCCUGGUUGGAAAGCCCUUGCAACUGCUUAUAAGAUGGAAGCUGGGGAGAGAGCCACAUUCUCAAUCGACUACGAUCGUGAUGAGAUCAUGGUCUACUACAGGCCUGCUGGCAGCGAUAAUGGUUCAGUUACUCCGGACUAUGACCCUGACUCCGCCCGUCGAAAAGUCUAGUUAGCUAGUUGGCAUGCAUGGAAGAUCUCAUGUUGUUAUCA